rnacentral:lncRNA from 1 species
GCUGCAAUUAGGCUACACGGUAUCGUCCCGUCCUCCACCCGGCGCCGCCACCGUGUCACCGUCCCUCCACGCCGCCCCCCUCCGUCCCCCCCUCCGUCCCGUCCUCUUCGUCCUCUGUUCGCCGUUAGCGACGGAGCAAACAGGUGGCCCCCCCUCUGCGACGCCCGUCCUCCCACGACAAUCACGACAGCCCCUACGCAGUUUCUGUUUAGGUUAACUGGAUGAACGUUGACCUCUUGGAUGUUGCAUGAAGCUACCCGACAUUUGAAGAUGGCAUUUCUAGUCGAAAUCGCUUGUUUAUGAACUCAAUUACCAUACAUUAAAUUUGGUAUUUAAAUUUAGAUGUUUCACAUGUUUCGAAAAUUUGACUUUAAUGUUUUCCGCUGCGUAUUCUUUGAAGUUUUAAAAUAAAAAAAAUAAAUUUUAGACUUUUUUUGCAAUGACGACCAACUGUGAGACACCCGGGUUUUGGGGUCUUACAAGUUGGUCUCAGAGCAGUAGUUCAAGAGAUUCGGGAAUCCCUUAAUGCCUGGACUUGAACUGAGAAUGGGAUCAAUGCUAGAAAUGCCAAUACGAGUAGCCGCACGCCAAGAGGUUAACUGGAUGAACGUUGACCUCUUGGAUGUUGCAUGAAGCUACCCGACAUUUGAAGAUGGCAUUUCUAGUUGAAAUCGCUUGUUUAUGAACUCAAUUACCAUACAUUAAAUUUGGUAUUUAAAUUUAGAUGUUUCACAUGUUUCGAAAAUUUGACUUUAAUGUUUUCCGUUGCGUAUUCUUUGAAGUUUUAAAAUAAAAAAAAUAAAUUUUAGACUG